GUGGUCGAGGGGCGCUGCAGCUUCGUCCACCUUCCCCCUGCGCGAAGGUGCCCGAUGAAGUCAGGCUCGAUCCGGUCUUUCCUUCCAACGGCGCUCGCUUUCA
rnacentral:ncRNA from 2 species